rnacentral:rRNA from 1 species
UACGUAGGGGGCAAGCGUUGUCCGGAUUUAUUGGGCGUAAAGCGCGCGCAGGUGGUUCGUCGCGUCGUGCGUGAAAGACCCCGGCUCAACUGGGGGGCGUCGUGCGAUACGGGCGGACUGGAGGCCAGUAGGGGGAUGCGGAAUUCCGGGUGUAGUGGUGGAAUGCGUAGAGAUCCGGAGGAACACCAGCGGCGAAGGCGGCAUCCUGGACUGGUCCUGACACUCAUGAGCGAAAGCGUGGGGAGCGAUCCGG